rnacentral:rRNA from 1 species
AGAGUUUGAUCCUGGCUCAGAACGAACGCUGGCGGCAGGCUUAACACAUGCAAGUCGAACGAUGUAGCAAUACAUAGUGGCGCACGGGUGAGUAACGCGUGGGAAUAUACCUUAUAGUGGGGAAUAACUUUGGGAAACUAAAGCUAAUACCGCAUACGCCCGAGAGGGGAAAGAUUUAUCGCUAUAAGAUUAGCCCGCGUGAGAUUAGGUAGUUGGUGGGGUAAUGGCCUACCAAGCCCACGAUCUCGAGCUGGUCUGAGAGGAUGAUCAGCCACACUGGAACUGAGACACGGUCCAGACUCCUACGGGAGGCAGCAGUGGGGAAUAUUGGGCAAUGGAGGAAACUCUGACCCAGCCAUGCCGCGUGAAUGAUGAAGGCCUUAGGGUUGUAAAGUUCUUUCGCCGAUGAAGAUAAUGACGGUAGUCGGAGAAGAAGCCCCGGCUAACUUCGUGCCAGCAGCCGCGGUAAUACGAAGGGGGCUAGCGUUGUUCGGAAUUACUGGGCGUAAAGCGAGCGUAGGUUGCUCGAUAAGUCAGUGGUGAAAGCCCAGAGCUCAACUCUGGAACUGCCAUUGAAACUGUCGAGCUGGAAUCUCAGAGGGGGUAGCGGAAUUCCAAAUGUAGGGGUGAAAUCCGUAGAUAUUUGGAGGAACACCGGUGGCGAAGGCGGCUACCUGGAUGAGUAUUGACACUGAGGCUCGAAAGCGUGGGGAUCAAACAGGAUUAGAUACCCCGGUAGUCC